UUCUCAUCGGUUUCUACGAGCAGUGCUAACCCCUCUUCGUGGACGAAGGGAGACUCACAUGAAACGUGUGUAGUAUGUUUAGGCUUACACACAGCCGGCACUUAGCGGCCUUUCUUCUUGUCCCCACUGUGAUGGCCUGCGGCUUAGAGUACUGCGCUCGAGGGUAGAAGUGUUUUCUAAUGUCGCCCCCGUGUCUAACCCCCGUCACGUCACUGUUGCGGCUGCCGAGGCACCACAUGAGGCGAUAGCUUGGGGAGACACGUGCGAUAUGGAUUUUGAGGACAGCGCAGUGCUGGAAUUUUAUCCACAUCCCUCGCUCUCCCCUACCCUGGUGCAGGAAAAGAGCUUUAUCGAACCAGUCGUUUUCUCUAACGAGGAUUUAUAGCCCACACAGGAGGCAUACGAUGCUAUCUCCUUCGGUUGUGAAUGUUACGACAAAGACGUUUUAUCCGCCACGGCCUCGGGGUCUGAGAACUUCACGGCUGACGCAAGCUCUCUCUCUCUCCUAGUUGACAGGAUAAGCAUGUUUCCCCCUCCAACAGCGAGCUGUCCUUCUAAGGCGUAUCGAGUCACGUCCAGCCUCAUUGGAAAAUGCGUCGGAACGCUUGCCCGACAUCUAGCAAUGGGUGUUACGCACAAUUUGUCACGGAUACACCAUUCAGUUUCGAAAAGGCCCUCCUCCUUUCCGCGGAAUUCUUCCCACGGUUGUGAAACCGAAGGAAAUAGCGGUGCUGCGACAAGAGAUGUCAACUCUGCUGAGAAAAGGGGCUAUAGAGGAAGUACACCCCUCUCAGAUGGAGUCAGGGUUUUACAGAUGCAAUUUUGUGGUGCCAAAAAAAGACGGCGGGUUGCGACCCAUUCUGGAUUUAUGCCGUUUGAAUCUUGCACUCAGGACGAGCAAAUUCAAGAUGUUACCGGUAAAUUCUAUUUUGUCUCAGAUUCAACCAAACGACUGGUUUGUCACAAUUGAUCUGAAAGAUGCAUACUUUCAUAUUCAGAUCAUCAAAAGACACAUGAAGUUUUAGAGGGCAAAGCUUAUCAGUACCGUGUUCUUCCCUUUGGCUUAGCUCUGGCUCCCCGUACUUUUUCAAAAUGCAUGGACGCAGCUCUGGCCCCGUUGCGGCUCCAAGGCGUUCGUGUUUUGAAAUACUUAGACGAUUGGCUGGUGAUAGCAAAAUCGCAGACUCAAGAACACUCUCACCAGGAUCUUGUGCUGAAUCAUUUAAACAGCCUGGGUUUAUGCACAAAUUUCCAGAAGAGUGUUUGAAUUCCCUCUCAAUGGAUAACCUUUCUGGGAAUAGACUUGGACUCUCGCGCGAUGACAGCUAAGCUAUCUCUCCCACUCGCUCAGUUGAUCGCGUCAUGCGUGCCUCGCUUCAAAGCGGGUCGCACAGUGACGGUGAGCUUGUGCCUCACACUUUUAGGUCUAAUGGCAGCGGUAUCCCCGUAAUCCAUCUGGGAUUACUUCACAUGCGCCCUUUUCAGUGGUGGACGAAAAGUCUGAACAUUUCACCCCAUUGUCUUCCACAUCAGACGAUUUCGGUGACACGGAGAUGUGUUGUGUCGAUAAAACUGUGGAUGUCAACCGAAUUCCUUCUAGCCGGAGUUCGGCUGGGGAUUUGUGCUUCCAGUGAGACUGUCACGACGGAUGCGUCUUUGACCAGUUGGGGAGCUGAUAGUCAAGGGCGCCCAGCCCACGGAGUGUGGACGGCGACACAACACAGUUGGCACAUAAACAGCUUAGAAUUACUGGCAGUUUUUCUAGCUCUCUAGUAUUUCUCGAAUCUGCUGAUCGGCCAUCAUGUACUGCUCAGGUCAAAAAAUAUAGCUGUUGUGUCGUAUCUGAAUCAUCAGGGAGGAUUACGCUCUCGCUUCUUGUGCAGGCUGGCUAGAAAAAUAUUCUUCUUUGGUCUGAGAACAAAUUUCUGUCGAUCCGAGCGGUUCAUGUUCCCGGACGUUUGAACUUCCGAGCGGAUUUGCUAUCCAGACAGACUCUGGAGCAGGGGGAAUGGAGAUUGCACCCCCAAACAGUGAACCUCUUAUGGCAGAUUUUUGGAGAAGCGAGAGUGGACUUGUUCGUGUUGAGCAUGACUACGCAUUGCCCGCUGUGGUUCUCCCUAUGCCCUCCAUCACUCACGAUUUGCCCAAAACCAGCUUGUAUGCUUUUUCCCCGAUUCGUUUAAUUCCAGUGGUAUUAUCCAGGAUACGGCUGGACAGAGUGGAAUAGCUGCUGCUGGUUGCUCCGCGAUGGCACACACAGACGUGGUUUGCGGACCUGAUCAGUCUGUUAGCGGGCUCUCCAUGGGAGAUUCCCCUCAGACAGAAUUUACUAUCACAAGCACAGGGAAUGAUUUGGCACGAUUUUGCUUCAUGGGAUUUAUCUAUUGUGUUUCAAGGUUUAUCAGGGCAUCCGUUUGAGCCCCUGGAAACUAUACUGGAUAAAAUCCUGACUCUGAAGACAGUUCUUCUUAUGGCUUUAUCCUCCCUCAAGAGAGUUGGGGAUUUACAGGCUCUUUCUGUCUCACCCUCGUGCAUGGAAUGUGCACCGGGCUCUGUGAAUGUGUUGUUGCGACUGAGGCCUAAUUAUGUUUUCAUAACCCCUUUCCUUUUCAACAAGUGGUCUUGGAGGCUUUACCCCCUGCUGAGGCGGGGUCAGGAGAUCUAAGUCUUUGCCCUGUCAGAGCGCUGAAGGCUUAUGUUGAUCAAACAGCCCGUGGCGUGAGUCUGACCAGCUGUUUGUCUGUUUUGGACAUAAGAAUAAAGGCCAUGCUGUCACAAGCAAAGCAUGUCCCAUUGGCUAGUGGAAGCAAUAUCUUUAGACUAUGAGGUGCGCGGACUCGCUUCGCCCUUAGGAAUUAGAGCUCAUUCCACGAGAGCAGUGGCUUCUUCACAAGCUUUUCUCAGUGGAUCUUCUAUAGAGCACUUUUAUCAAGUCUUACAGUCUGGGUGUGAGGAUGGUUCCUGGCUCCUGGGUUCUCUCCGCUUGAGUAGAUGCUUCCUUGGAUCCCAGCUAUCAGGGGGACCCUGCUCCACCUUUCCUACCACACACCUGAUGGAUACUGACUGUAAAAUGGCAAUCAUAGGAGGAGGGCUCACUGUGAAUAGAUGUAUUGUUGACUGCAAGUCUGUCCAUCCAGAUGUGAGGAAGACCCAGCAGGUGUGUCAUGGCUAUAGAUACUGUGGUCUUGGAAAGAAAGGCGUCUUCACAUCCAUCCAUCCAUCCAUCCAUCCUGAAAGCUAAAUAAAUGUUUUAGUGGAUAA